ACGGAAGGCAGCAGUGGGGAAUAUUGCGCAAUGGAGGAAACUCUGACGCAGCGACGCCGCGUGAGUGAUGAAGUAUUUCGGUAUGUAAAGCUCUAUCAGCAGGGAAGAUAAUGACGGUACCUGACUAAGAAGCACCGGCUAAAUACGUGCCAGCAGCCGCGGUAAUACGUAUGGUGCAAGCGUUAUCCGGAUUUACUGGGUGUAAAGGGAGCGUAGGUGGUCUGGCAAGCCAGAAGUGAAAACCCGGGGCUCAACUCCGUGGAUUGCUUUUGGAACUGUUGGACUAGAGUGCAGGAGGGGUAAGUGGAAUUCCUAGUGUAGCGGUGAAAUGCGUAGAUAUCGGGAGGAACACCAGUGGCGAAGGCGGUUUACUGGACGACAACUGACGCUGAGACGCGAAAGUGUGGGGAGCAAACAGGAUUAGAUACCCUGGUA
rnacentral:rRNA from 1 species